rnacentral:lncRNA from 1 species
CCUAUUUACAACUACUAAACUGUCGUGCAAAAUACGACAACACAUAUACUGUGAUUUUUAAUACAAAUAUUGUAACGUAUAUAAUAUGAAAAUAUCCACACUCAAAUUAAGUACUCAUUACAAUUAUUGUCACACUAUUUUACAACAUAGUGUGUACUACUAUAGUAACUAUCUCGAACCAUUACUCCAUUCCCUGACUAGUCUCAGCUAUACUUUCAUUUCCUGAGAAGAACAAUGGAACAAAAAGGGUGAGCUCAACUAGCCCAGUAGAUAAUAUCAUAACUAAGAUAAUGAAGAAUAAUUUAUCUUUAGCCUUCAACAAUGAUAAAUCAGAUAAAAUAUAAUAGACAACAAAUUUUAAAUCAACAACUGUAGUGGAACAAGCAAUCCAUUAGACGAGUCAGGUAGAUCAUGAUGUCUACUAUUUUCUAUAAUUUAAAAAUUCAUCAUCAAUAUUUUAUCCUUGUAACAUGAAUCAACAAUUUAUAUUUGUACUACAGGCCAAAUAUAUUCAUUUGUAUCACUAGUGGUCAUGAUCAUGCCAAACAAAAGUCCAUAUUUGCACUACGGGCCAAAGAGAACUCUCACCAUAAGCCUUUAUCUGUAACACCAAAGGUCAUGAUUAUACCAAUACACAAUUCCUGGUCAUAAUCAUACUAAUCAACAGUCUAUCUUUGCACUAUGGGCCAAAUAUAACUUUUCACCACAAUUUAAGUCUGAGGAUGAUAACAAUGAUAUAAAGGAUAAAUAAAAGUGAGAUCAAGAAUAAAUAUUAAAUAUUUGUAAUUUAAUUUAUUCAGAGUUCAAGAAUGUCCAAAUUGUCAACAUGAUAACCAAUUGUGGAGUAAAAUUCAAGAAUAAUAUUUAAGACUUAUAUUUUAGAGAUAAUUUGGAUAGAAAAAGAAAACUAAAUUCUGUUGUGAAUAGUAUUCCGGCGUGAAUAGUACUGCGACACUUAAAAUUUAAUAAGAAAUUUAGGUAAUAAAUUAUUCAAGUGAAAAUGAUAUUAGAUGAAACGCAAACCUCAAGAACUUUCUAAUCAUUUCAGAAAUUAUAGAAGCAAUACUUACCAUAGUAAGUUUAGAUUUAGGAAUAUGAAUUGAGGUAAUAUCAUAAUAUGGAGUAUGAAAGAAAAUGAUACCCCUUACGAGUAUUGAAAGAAAAUAAUAUCAUUUAUCUUAGUAGGAGACUAGAUCUGACUGAUAUAUAGGAGAUUAUGUUGAGAAAAUUUUACACUAUAAGCUACACUCAAAGUAUCCUUAUACUCAAAGAAAUACACACAAUAUUAUAUAAGAAAAAUUUUUGUGGUUCUGGUGUGUCCUUCAUCGCUCAACUGAGCACUCUAUAAAUAGGGUUAAGGAGGCACGCGAAAUUUGACAAAGUUUCACACACUAUGUUUGACGAAAAAGGGUUGGUGUGUGGUAGGUGUUUAUUGACCAGCCACCUAAUUUGACAAAAGAGAAAUGGUUUGCUAAAUGCUAAAAAACUUAAAUAAUUGGUGGGCUCCGGCUAGGUUAAUGGAAAAUAAAAAUAUGCCCAACAGUUCAGAAGAUUAUAUUUUUAAGAGCAAUCUGUCCAUUCAUAUUAAAAUGCCCCAUUAAUAAUAUAUGCCAUCUUUUCUUCUUAUUGAAUAAAUAAUAAUAUAAGUAUUUGAUUAAUAAUGGGGUAAUCACCCUCGUGACUAUGGAUGACAAAAGAUGACAAUCAUCAAAAUUGAGGGCUCAUUAGUGGAGAAUAAUUAUGGUUCCUGUCCAAAAAUAUAAGCUAAACUUACAACGUCUUAUGACAAACCCCUCUAUUUAUAUCAAAAUUGAACACAAUUUUUAUUUAUUACUUAUUUACAACUCUUCAAUUUUUCAAUAAUUAUUCCUAAUUAAUAUUAUACACUCACAAUACUGACAACCAGAUCGUUCCCAGGAAAGAAGGGGCUUUCCGAUAAGGAUUUCUCCUUAUUGGCGCGCAAUUAUAUAACCUAACCCUUUUCUUCGACAUAACUUUCUAGACAUUGUCAAUAAUGCUAUCUAAUAAUAUCAUUUCAAUAAUAUGAGUUACAGUGUCGUGAAAAUUAUUGAUUUAUUGUGAAAUACUAUUCAGUUGUUACUAUGACAAUUAUUGAGUCAAUAAUAUGAAAUAUUCUAUAAUUAUCACUGUAGCAAUUAUUGAAUCAAUAAUAUGAAUUACUGUGCAAUACCGUGUGCUACUGUGGAAUAACACAUUUUACUGUACUUUUAUCAUCGGGUAUUUAACGGUAAAAGUUUUACCGUCAAUUUUUUUAAAAAGAUUAUUUCUGUCGCUUUUUAUAUCCGACAGUUAUUCCGUUGUGGGGACCACCAAUGAUUGGUUAUUUCGGCACUGUCGUACUUUACCUAUAAGACCCCAACUUUUAUGAAUAAAGAUUUAAUUUUUACUAAAUAUCAUUUUUGAUUAAUAAGGUGUGAAUUUGAUAUAAUGUUAUAGUUGUGGGUAAUGUUUAUAAAUUUUGCAAAGUAUGCAAGUUGUCAUAAAAUAUUCAUUUGGUCAGGGAAUAUUCGUUUUAUCAGGGAAUAUUCGUACGAUGGCACAAUCAUUGGUGGACCCCAUAACGGAAUUACUAUCGGAGUUAGAAAACUACAGAAAUAACUUUGUAUAAAAAUAAUGGCAAAACUUUUACAUUUAACUGUUGAAAUACCCGGUGAUAAAAGUAAAGUAUAUGCGUGGUUGUAUUGUAGCACAUGGUAUUGUACAGUAUCUUUGAUUAUUGAUGUUUACGUGAGAAGUCACUCAGUUAUAUUCAAUUAUUACCACAAUAAGCUGCAUAGUAUCUCAUAUUAUUGAUUUAAUUAUUGUCAUAGUAUCAUCUGCAUAAUAUUUUAUAUUAUUAAAUCAAUAAUUGAGACGAUAAAGUUAUUCAUAUUAUUAUUUGUAUUAUUGACAAUGUCUAGAAAGUUCUAUCGUGAAAAGGGGUUUGGUCAUCUAAUUGCGCGCCAAUAAGGAAAAGUCCUUAUCGAAAAGCCCCCUCUUUCCUGAGAAUGAUUUGGUUGUUAAUAUUGCGCGUUAUAAUAUUAAUAAUGAAUAAAUGUUAUUAAAAAUGUGUUUUGAGAAGCCAAGUGAAUUGAGAUAAAUAAAGGGGUUUGUCAUGAAUUAUUUGUUGUAAAUUUAGUUUAUUACAUGGACCACCACUUACUCAGUUUUCAAAAUCGUCGGUAGAAAGUUAUCUCAGUUUUUGUUUUAUAGUAAUAAAACAGAAAACUUUUUAUAUAAAACAGAAAACUUUUUAUAAAUAGAAUAUAUUAUAUUUUAUUAUGUUGCACAGUACUGCAUAGUGUUUGUAUAGUACUGCAUAGUGCAUCAUAGUAAAAUUAGUAAUUUUUGUUCUGUGUCCGUGAAUUCGCUCGUGAGUUUUCGACUGUUCACCCAUGAUUUUCUAAUUCAAAUAGUGCUAUACCAUUUUCCUAUAAAUAGAAUGCCCAGUUUAGAAAUGAAAAUCACACCAGAAUCAGAGAAUUCUUCUUCUAUAAUAUUGAGCGUAUUUCUUUUGAGGUUAAGAAAACUUUGAGCGUUGCAAAUAGUGCAAGUUUUCUUCAAGAAUAACCCCGCUAUGCCAGUCAAAAGUACUCUCCUUUUAAGGUAAGAGAUAUUAUUUUCAUUCAAGAAUAGUAAGAAAUAAUAUUUUCUUCCAUACUCUGUAGUAUGUAAGUAAUAUUAUUUAGUUUUAUAUAUUCCUAAUUCUACACUUAUUUUGACAAGUAUUGCUUCUAUACUCCUUAAAAUUAGUAGAAUAUCCUUGAAAUUUGUGCUUCAUCGAGUAUCUUUUCACGGGAAUAUUUUUUUUGAACAUUCUUGUUAAAUUUUAAUCUUUUCAUGUCGGGGUACUAUUCAUGGGGUACUAUUCACUCGGGUACUAUUCACCCGAUUCUUGAAUUUUACUCCACAAAGCAGUUAUCAUGUUGACAAUUUGGACAUUCUUAAACUCUGGAUAAAUUGAAUUAUAAAUCUUUAAAAUUUAUCCUUGAUCUAACUUAAUUGAAUUCUUAUAUCAUUGUCAUCAUUCACAUGCUUAUAUUGUGAUGAAAGUCAUCUUUGGCCCGUGGUGCAUAGAUGGACUGUUGAUUGAUAUGAUUAUGACCAAGAAUUAUGUAUCGGUAUAAUCAUGACUUGCAAUGUUACAAAUGGUGUGGUAAAAGUCCUCAUUGGCCCGUAGUGCAUUGAUGGACAAUUAUUUGGCAUGAUCAUGACUAUUGGUGAAAAUAACAAAUAUCCUUGGCCCGUAGUGCAUGGAUAAUUUGUGGAUGUGAUACUAACGAAUAUCAUUGGCCCGUAGUGCAUGGAUAAUUCGGUGAUGUGGAUUAUUUAUUGAGCUGUGUUACAGCGAUUAAAUAUUAAUGAUGAACUUUUAAAUCAUAGAAGAUAGUAGAUAUCAUGCUCUACUUGACUCUUUUAAUGGAUUAUUUGUUCCGCUGCAGUUAAACUUGUUGUCUAUUGUAUUCUAUCAAUUUUACACUGUUGAAGGCUAACGAUAAUUUAUUCUGCAUUAUCUUAGUCAUAAUAUUCUUUAAUUGGCUAGUUGAGUUUACCCUUUGCUUUCAUUAUUCUCUUCAGGAAAUGAGAAUAUAUAUAGUUGGGACUAGUCGGAGAACGGAGUGAUGGUCCGAGAUGGUGGCUAUAAUAGUCCUCACUAUUUUAUAAAAUAGUGUGAUAAUAAUUGAAAUGAGGACUCCAUUUGAGUUUGGAUAUUGUCUAUGAGACAAUAUUCGUGUUAAAACUCUCAGCUACGUUUUGUCGUAUUGUAUAAAUGAAGUUUGUAUUUGAUUUCUGUACCAUGUAUUUGGCGACUUAAAAUGGGUAAUGUAUACCUAUUUUUGGGGCGUCACAUUACCGAAUAUAAUAUUCCCGACAGAAAGAAUAUUCCCCGACAAAACGAAUAUUCCCCGACAAAAUGAAUAUUUUCUAACAACUGUUUACUUUGUAUAAUUUGCACAUAUCACCCACAACUAUAACAUUUAUUAAAUCAACACCUUAAUAUUUAGAAUAAUAUAUAAAGAAAAUUAAAUUUUAUUCAUAAAAAGUUGGGGUUUUACAACUUCCCCUCCUUAUGAAAUUUUAUCCUCAAAAUUGAUGUACGUACCUAGUAUUUUGAAGAGGUGAGGAUACCUUGCUUUCAUUUUCGAUUCUAACUCCCAAGUCAUUUCCUCAAUAUCAUGGUUUCUCCAUAAAACUUUGACUUGAGGUAUAGCCUUUGAGCGUAGAAUAUGUUCCUUUUUAUCCAAGAUCUUGACAAGUACCUCCUCAUAUGUUAAAUCUUCUGCUAUCUCGUCUGGUUCUAAUUCAAUAAUGUGGUUUGGGUCCUCGACAUAUUUACGUAGCAUGAAUAUGUGAAAAAUGUUAUAAACAUGAGACAUGCUUGACGGUAAGGCGAGUCUAUAGGCCACAACUCCUACUCGGUCGAGGAUUUCAAAUGGACCAAUAAAUCGAGGGUUGAGCUUUUCUCUCUUUUUGAAUAUCUUAAAUCCUUUCCAUAGAGCAUCGCAUAACAAUACAUGGUCUCUGAAAUUGAAUUCCACGUCCCUUUGAUGAAGAUCAACAUAACUCUUUUGCCGAUCUUGUGCUGUUUGUAUAUGCUGUCGGAUCAUUUGAAUCUUUUCCGUGGUCAUACGUACUAAUUCUGGUCCCAACAAUGUUGCUUCACCUACCUCAUCCCAGCAUACUAGACAAUGACACUUUCUUCCAUACAAUGCCUCGAAUGAAGCCAUGCAUAUACUUGCUUGAUAAUUAUUAUAGGAGAAUUUCACCAAUGGUAAGUACUUGUCCCAACGUACGCAAAGUCUUAAUAGAUCUUCAAGAGUUUGAAUAUUCCUUUCGAAUAGCCUGUUUGUCUGGGGAUGAUAUGUAGAACGGAAUCGUAAUUCAGUGCCCAUAGCUUUUUGCAAGCUGACCUAAAAUCGUGAAGUAAAUCUGGGGUCUCGAUCAGAGAUACUAGCAUGCCAUGUAAUUUUAUAAUCUCAUUUAUCUACAUACGAGCAAGACGUUUAAGUGAAUAGUUCUCUCGUAUGGGCAAGAAAUGAGCAGAAUUGGUCAAUUUAUCUAUAAUGACCCAAAUUGUGUCUAAGCCUUGAGAAACCUUGGGAAGACCCGUUAUAAAAUCCAUAUUAAUAUGUUCCCACUUCCAUUAUGAAAUCUCAAGUGGUUUCAAUGGACCCUUUGACACUUGAUGCUCUGUCUUGAUGCGUUGAAAAUUUAAACACCUUGAGAUAAACUCCGUAAUCUAUCUCUCCAUGUUGCUCCACCAAAAUGCAUGUCGAAGAUCACGAUACAUUUUGGUACUUAUAGGGUGGAUUGCAACGGGUGUGUUGUGUGCCUCCAUUAUGAUUUUAUAUUUUAAAUUAGGGUUGUUAGGAACACAAAGUCUAGAGUUGACUCGAAGUAUCCCUUCCUCAUCGAUCCUUGCUUCUUGAACAACACCUUCUUGUACUUUCUUUUUCCUAUUCACCAACUCUGGGUCUGUAGCUUGAGCAGCUUUAACUUUAUCGAUUAAAGUCAGUUCUACUCGUAUAUUUUCCAUCUUUACGUGGGUCCCUAGAGUAUUUAAAUCUAUUUCCAUCUUUUGUAAGUCAUAAAAAAUGGGCCUUUGUGUUUACAAUAUCGCACUCGUUCUCGCAUAUGAUCUUCUACUAAAUGCGUCAGCUACCAUGUUCGCUUUUCCAAUAUGAUAUUGGAUGGUAUGGUCAUAAUCUUUUAAUAGCUCAAGCCAACUUCGUUAUCGCAUGUUGAGUUCCUUUUGGGUGAAGAAAUAUUUAAGGCUUUUAUGAUCGGUAUAGAUCUCCACUUUCUCCCCAUACAGGUAGUGUCUCCAGAUCUUUAACGCGAAAACAACUGCUGCCAACUCUAGAUCAUGGGUAAGAUAAUUUCUCUCAUAUUUUUUGAGUUAUCGAGAGGCAUAAGCUAUGACUUUUCCAUAUUGCAUGAGAACGCAACCUAGACCUUUGCCUGACACAUCGCUGUAGAUGACAAAUCCCUCCGAACUUGAUGGUAUUUUCAAAACAUGUACUGAAAUGAGUCUUCUUUUGAGUUCAUAGAAGCUCUUCUCACAUUCCUUGCUCUAUACGAAUUUUGUAUUUUUUUGAGUCAGUUGAGUUAAUGGAGUGGCAAUUCGAGAAAAUUCUUUUACGAAUCUUUGAAUAAUCAGCUAGGCCCAAAAAGCUACGUACUUCGGUUACUGACUUUGGUUUCUCCCAAUUUGAUACUUCUUCAAUCUUUUUCAGGUCAACUGAUUCCAUAUUUCGAUAUCACGUGACCAAGGAAUGCUACUUUCUCAAGCCAGAACUCACAUUUCUUCAACUUGACAUAUAACUUGUUUUUAUGAAGCUUUUGGAGUAUCAGUCUCAAGUGUUACUCAUGAUCGUCACGACUUUUGAAGUAUAUGAGGAUGUCAUCAAUAAAGACAACCACGAAAUGAUCCAAAUAUUCUUUAAAUAUCCAGUUCAUCAUAUCUAUAAAGGUAGUAGGAGAAUUAGUCAAUCCAAAAUACAUGACUAAGAAUUCAUAAUGUCCGUACCGAGUUCUGAAGGCAGUCUUUGGAAUGUCAUCAGUUUUAAUCUUUAACUGAUGAUAUCCAGAAUGAAGAUCGAUCUUUGAAAAGAAUUGAGCACCUUGUAACUGGUCAAACAGGUCAUCAAUGCGAGGUAAUGGGUACCUAUUUUUGAUAAUGACAUGAUUCAGCUCCUGAUAGUCAAUGCAGAGUCUCAUACUCCUGUCUUUCUUCUUUACGAAUAAAACAGGAGCACCCCAAGGAGAUGUACUAGGACAUAUGAAGUCGAUAUCUAACAACUCUUGUAGUUUCUAGUUUUACUAACUUUAGCCAAUUCUUGCCAAUUUCAUUUAAGGCCUCUUGGGUUCAUUGCAACACUUGAAUUAUUACUAGUUAAAACAAUUUUUAGCAUCCCCUUGACUUUGCUAAGCAUAGAUUUGGUUUUGACCCUCUAAACCUAGCUUUUUCAAGCUUUUACAUAAUAAUUUCUCAUGUUCUUGUAUACAUUAGCAUUCCAACAUUUGGAAUAGCCUAGCAUAACUCUAACUCACUUUUCUAAGGUGUUAGAACUGAGUUUUAAUUAAAAUGGCAUAAUCUCAAUUUUACACUUAGAAAAAUCUCCAAAAUCUACAGUUUUGUUGAUUUUAUAGGAUAGUUUAGUGAUUUGUUUGAAUUUCUGGGUUAAGUUUUUGGUUCAACCAUUUUGCCCUGCUUCUAGAUCAUACAUCAAGGUAUUUUAAUCAAGGUUUAGGUUUCUUAUUCAUUUCAUUUAAGCUUCUCAAAACAGUGCCUCAAACUGGCCUGUUUUCUAACUUGUUGCAAAAACUAUUUUUAACAGUUUAUCAUUUUUCUCCAGUUUUGGCUAUAUACUUGGAUAGUCUAUGUAAGACCCCAACUUUUAUGAAUAAAGAUUUAAUUUUCUCCAAAUAUCUUUUUGAAUAAUAAGGUGUGGAUUUGAUAUAAUGUUAUAGUUGUGGGUAAUAUUUAUAAAUUUUGCAAAGUAAGAAAGUUGUUAUAAAAUAUUCGAUUGGUCGGGGAAUAUUCGUUUUAUCAGGAAAUAUUUGUACGACGACACAAUCAUUGGUGGACCCCAAAAUAAAAUUAUUUUCAGAGUUCGAAAAUGACAGAAAUAACUUUUUAUAAAAAUAACGGAAAAAGUUUUACCGUUAAUUGUUGAAAUACCCGGUGAUAAAAGUACAGUAAUACGCGCGGUUGCAUAGUAGCACAAAGUAUUGUACAGUAUCUUUGAUUAUUGAUACUUACGUGAGAAGUCACUCAAUUUUGUUCAAUUAUUACCACAGUAAUUGCUGCAUAGUAUCUCACGUUAUUGAUUCAAUUAUUGUCACAAUAUUUUAUAUUAGUAAAUCAAUAAUUGAGAUGACAAAGUUAUUCAUAUUAUUAUUUGCAUUAUAGACGAUGUCUAGAAAGUUCUGUCGAGAAAAGGGGUUUGGUCACCUAAUUGCACGCCAAUAGGGAGAAAUCCUUAUCGAAAAUCCCCCUUUUUCCUGAGAAUGAUCUGGUUGUUAAUAUUGUGAGUUAUAAAUGAUGAAUAAAUGUUAUUAAAAAUGUGUUUUUAGAAGCCAAGUGAUUUUAAAUAAAUAGAGGGUUUUUUAUGAAGUAUUUGUUGUAANNNNNNNNNNNNNNNNNNNNNNNNNNNNNNNNNNNNNNNNNNNNNNNNNNNNNNNNNNNNNNNNNNNNNNNNNNNNNNNNNNNNNNNNNNNNNNNNNNNNAAGUAUUUGUUGGACCCCCAUUUACCCAUUUUUCAAAAUAAUCGGUAGAAAGUUAUAAAGUAUAUUUAUAUAUAUAUAUAUAUAUAUAUAUAUAUAUAUAUAUAUAUAUAUUAAAAGUGUCUGUGUGUCGUGUGUGAUAAUGUGUGUGUGAGUGGUGGGUAUUAUAUAUAUAUAUAUAAAUAUUAUAUUAAUUUUAUUUUUUUAUGAAAAAUAGAAUAUAUAUUUUAUUUUAUUUGUAUAGUACUACAUAGUGUUGCAUAGUAAAAUCAAAUUUUUUAAGUUUCGUCCGUGAUUUUGCAUAGAAUUCAUCCGUGAAUUCUCAAACUGUUCACCCGUGAAAAUUCUAAAUAGUUUCCUGUCAUUCUCCUAUAAAUAGGAUGCUUAGUUUAGAAUUAAAAAUCACACCAGAAUCAGAGAAUUCUUCUUCUAUAAUAUUAAACGUAUUUCUUUAGAGUUUAAGGAAGCUUUGAGUGUAGAAAAUAAUGCAAGUUUUCAUUAAGAAUAUCCCCGCUAUACCGGUCAGAAGUACUCUCCUUUUAAGGUAAGGAAUAUUAUUUUUGUUCAGUAUUCGUAAGAAAUAAUAUUUUCUUUCAUACUCUGUAGUAUGUGAGUAAUAUUAUUUCGUUUCAAAUUCCGAAUUCUACACUCAUUUUGUAAAGCAUUGCUUCUAUACUCUUUGAAAUUAGUAGAAUAUCUUUGAAAUUUGCGCUUCAUCUAAUAUCGUUUCACAAGGGUAUUUUCUGAACAUUUUUGUUAAAUUUUAAUCUUUUAAUGUUGGGGUACUAUUCACGGGGUACUAUUCACCCAGAAAAUUGAUUUCUUUUCUGUCCAAAUUAUUUUUGAUACAUGAAUAUUAUUCUUGAAUUUUACUCCACAAAGCAGUUAUCAUGUUGUCAAUUUGGACAUUUUUAAACUAUGGAUAAAUUAAAAAUCUUUAAUAUUUAUCCCUGAUUUCGUUUGAUUGAUUUCUUAUAUCAUUGUCAUCAUCCUCAUGCUUAUAUUGUGAUGAAAGUCAUCUUUGGCUCGUAGUGCAUAGAUGGACUGUUGAUUGGUAUGAUUAUGACCAGGGAUUAUUCGGUAUAAUCAUGACCUGUAAUGUUACAAAUGAUGUGGUAAAAGUCCUCAUUGGCCCGUAGGGCAUUAAUGGACAGUUGUUGGCAUGAUCAUGACCAUUGGUGAUAAUAACGAAUAUCAUUGGCCCGUAGUGUAUGGAUGAUUCGUGGAUGUGAUAAUAAUGAAUAUCCUUGGCCCGUAGUGCAUGGAUAAUUCAGUGAUGUGGAUUAUUUAUUGAGCUGAGUCUCAGUGAUAAAAUUGAUGAUAAACUUUUAAAUCAUAGAAGAUAGUAGAUAUCAUGCUCUACUUGACUCUUCUAAUGGAUGAUAGUAGAUAGUAGAUAGUAGAUAUCCUCAGGUAAACAACAACACCGACCAAAUGAGGAACGAUGGUAUUUUCAGAGGCUUUUUGCAAUUUAUGCAACUUUAGGCGAGAAAGACUCCUGUGAAAAAUAAAGGUGGAAACACUGGCAACUCACGGUUGGUCACAGUUAAGCAAUUCAAGGAGCUAGGACCACCAGAGUUUUUGGAAAAGCCAGAACCAGUUAAGGCAGAGACGUGGAUUAAGCAGAUCACCAAGAUAUUUGAUGUCUUAGGAUGCUCCAAGGAGCAAAAGGUUCCCUUUGCCACUUUUAUAUUGCAAGGAGAGGAAGAUCAUUGGUGGGAAUCUGUAAAACGUACUCAACCUGCCGCACUGAAGAUGUCUUGGGAGAAGUUUCAAGAAUUCUUCAACGACAAGUACUUUCCUGAAAGUAUUCGUCACAUGAAGGAGGUAGAAUUUAUCAAGCUAGAGCACAAAAAUAUGACCAUGUCGCAAUACGAGGCUAAGUUUGCGAAGUUAUCCUAGUUUGCAUCCCAUUUGGUUGAUAAUGAGGAGCGAAUAACGCAAAUGUUUCUGCGAGGUUUAAAACCCAAAAUACGUUAAUACCUCAUUUCUCACAAACUGUGCUUGUAUUCAGAUAUAGUGAAUAUGGCUCAGUUAUUGGAGCACGAUAAUGAGUCAACCCUACCAAGAGAUAACAGUAGACAAAAUGAUAAUUCUAGUGGUAACAGUCAUCAAAGUGGUGACAACAAACGUGGAGGAAAUCAACAUGCCAGAAAUGGUAACCACUUCGAUGGUAACCCUGGCCAAGAUAAUAGAAGAAAUGAGUUAAGUGGAAAUUUCAAGAAGAGAAGGUUCAAUAAUGAUGGAAGGACAACAACAACAACACCUGUUUUCAAGGAAGGAGAACGACCACCGGUCGUAUGUUACAAAUGCGGAGGGGAGGGACACAUCAGUCUAAACUGUACGCAAUAAUCCAAAGCGUGUUAAAAUUACAGAAGAAGAGGUCACCUAGCUCUAUUUUGUCGUGUAGUGAAGAUAGGUCCAGCUGGGAUGGAGGCACCAAAGGUCGUACCAGACAAGUCAAAGUCGAUAGUUCAAGGGAGAGCAUUUGUCGUAACCUCCCAAAAAGCGAUGAACCCGAACGAGGUUAUCACGAGUAAGCUAAUCAUAAAAUCUUGCGAAGUCUAUACCUUAUUUGAUACCGGUUCUACCCAUUCAUUUAUUUCUCCUACUUGCGCUCAACGUUUAAAUUUAACUCCAAAAAAAUUAGAUUUUGACUUAUCUGUUGAAACUCCAUUGGGAGAAACCUUCGUUACAUCCAUUGUUUAUAAGUCUUAUUUGAUUCAAAUCGGCACCCUCACAUUACCUGUCGAUCUUCUCUCUUUGAAAAUACUUGCAUUUGAUGUGAUUUUAAGGAUUGAUUGGUUAACUACUCAUCAUGCUAAAAUUGAUUAUUUUCGUAUGGUUGUUAGCUUUCAUAUUCCUAAACAACCUAUUAUGCGAAUUCAAGAAACCAAACCACUAAAGUCAAUCACUGUCAUAUCAAGCCAUAAAGCCAUUGGUUUAUUAAAAAAUGGAUGUCAAGCUUUCUUAGUCCAUGUCACGGAUUUAAACAAAAAUACGUCAAAUUUGAAUGAUUAUUAUAUUGUUAAUAAAUUUUCUGAUGUAUUCCCUGAAGAACUUCCUGGCCUACCCCCAGAGCGUGAAAUCAAGUUUUGUAUUGAUCUUGAACGUAGUACAAAACCCAUUUCCAAAGCCCCAUAUCGAAUGGCUCCUAUUGAACUUCAGGAGUUAAAAAUCUAACUGCAGGAAUUGUUAGACAUCGAUUUCAUUCGUCCUAGUACGUCUCCUUGGGGUGCUCCUGUUCUAUUCGUAAAGAAGAAAGAUGGGAGUAUGCGACUUUGUAUUGAUUAUCGGGAGUUGAAUCAUGUCACCAUAAAAAAUAGGUACCCAUUGCCUCGCAUUAAUGACCUGUUUGACUAGUUGCAAGAAACUAAAUUCUUUUCAAAGAUUGAUCUUCGUUCCGGAUAUCAUCAGUUAAAGAUUAAAACCGAUGACAUUCCAAAGACUGCUUUCAGAAUUCGGUACGGGCAUUACAAAUUCCUAGUCAUGUCUUUUGGAUUGACUAAUGCUCCUGCCACCUUCAUGGAUAUGAUGAACCGAGUAUUCAAGGAAUAUUUGGAUAAUUUUGUGGUUGUCUUUAUUGAUGACAUCCUCAUAUACUCCAAAAGUUGUGAAGAUCAGGAGCAUCACUUGAGGCUGAUACUCUAAAAGCUUCGUGCAAACAAGAUAUAUGCCAAGUUGAAGAAAUGCGAGUUCUGGUUUGAGGAAAAAACAUUCCUUGGGCACGUGAAAUCAAAUCACGGAAUAUCUGUUGACCCAACGAAGAUUGAAACAAUUCAAAGCUGGGAGCAACCUAAGUUAGUGAUCGAAGUACAUAUCUUUCUGGGCUUAGCUGGUUAUUAUCGGAGAUUCGUGGAAGGGUUUUCUCGAAUCGCCACUCCGUUAACUCAACUGAUACGAAAGAUACAAAAUUUGGUUAGAGCGAGGAAUGUGAGAAGAGUUUUCAAGAACUCAAAAGGAGACUCAUUUCAGUACUUGUUCUGACAAUAUCAUCUGGUUCUGAGGGAUUUAUCAUAUACAUCGAUGCUUUAGGCAAAGGUUUAGGAUGUGUUCUCAUGCAAUAUAGGAAAGUCAUAGCCUAUGCCUCACGACAAAUCAAAGAAUAUGAGAGAAAUUAUCCUACUCAUGAUCUAGAGUAUACAGUAGUUGUUUUUGCGCUAAAGAUUUGGAGACAUUUCCUGUAUGGGGAGAAGGUGGAGAUCUAUACGGAUCAUAAAAGCCUCAAAUAUUUUUUCACUCAAAAGAAACUCAAUAUGCGGCAACGACGUUGGCUCGAGCUGUUGAAAGAUUAUGAUCAUAUCAUUCAAUACCAUCUUGGAAAAGUGAAUGUGGUAGUUGACGCGUUGAGUAAAAGAUCUUAUGCGGAUUUUGUAUGACUUACAAAGAAUGGAGAUAGAGUUAAAGACUCCAGGGACCUAUGUGAUGAUGUCAAAUAUAUGAGUAGAACCGACUUUAAUCGAUAAAGUUAAAACUGCUCAAGCUACAGACCUGGAGCUGAUGCGUAUGAAGAAGAAAGUGCAAGAAGGUACUAUUCCGGAAGCAAGAAUCGAUAAAGAAGGAAUACUUCGAGUCAACUCCAGAAUUUGUGUUCCUAACGACUCUGAUUUGAAGUAUAAAAUCAUGAUGGAGGCGCACAAUACACCAUUUGCAAUCCAUCCUGGGAGUACCAAAAUGUAUCGUGAUCUUCGACAUACAUUUAGGUGGAGCAAUAUGAAGAGCGAGAUAGCGAAGUUUAUCUCAAGGUGUUUAAUUUGUCAACGUGUCAAGGCGGAGCAUCAAGUGCCAAAAGGUCCAUUGCAACCACUUGAAAUUCUAGAAGGGAAGUGGAAGCAUAUUACCAUGGAUUUCGUUACUGGUCUUCCCAAGGUUUCUCAAGGCAUAGAUGAAAUUUGGGUCAUUGUUGAUAGAUUAACCAAGUCUUCUCAUUUCUUACCUAUAUGAGAAACUUAUUCACUUGCACGUCUUGAUAGUAUAUACAUAAAUGAGAUUGUAAGACUGCAUGGUAUGCCAGUAUCCAUAGUUUUUGAUCGAGAACCAAGAUUAACUUCACGAUUUUGGGUUAGUUUUUAGAAAGCUAUGAGCACAUAUUUACAUUUAAAUUUGACAUAUCAUCCUCAGACGGACGGGCAGUCGGAGAGGACUAUUCAAACCCUUGAAGAUCUAUGAAGACUCUGUGUCCUUGACUUCAAAGGAAGUUGGGACAAGUUCUUGCCAUUAGUGGAAUUCUCCUACAACAAAAGUUAUCAAACAAGUAUAGGCAUGGCUCCAUUCGAGGCGUUGUAUGGACGCAAGUGUCGUUCUCCAGUAUGCUGGGACGAGGUGGGUGAAGCAACGUUGUUGGGACCGGAAUUGGUACGCAUGACAAUGGAAAAGAUUCAAAUGAUCCGACAAUAUAUAAAAACCUCACAAGAUCGACAAAAGAGUUGUGCUGAUCUUCAUCGAAGGGACAUGGAAUUCAAUGUUGGAGAUCAUGUUUUAUUACGUGUUGUUCUAUGGAAAACAGUUAAGAGAUUUGGAAAGAGAGGAAAGCUCAAUCCUCGAUUCAUUGGCCCAUUUGAAAUCCUCGAUCGAGUAGGAACUGUGGCUUAUAGACUCGCCUUACCGCCAAGUAUAUCUCGUGUUCAUAACGUUUUUCACAUAUCUAUGUUACGUAAAUAUGUGGAAGACCCGAAACAUAUUAUUGAAUUAGAACUAGACGAAAUAGCGGAAGAUUUAACGUAUGAAGAGGUACCUGUUAAAAUCUUGGAUAAGAAAGAACAUAUUCUACGCUCCAAGGUUAUACCUCAAGUCAAAAUUUUGUGGAGAAACCACGAUAUUGAGGAAAUGACCUAGGAGUUAGAAUUUGAAAUGAAAUCAAGGUAUCCUCACCUCUUCAAUAUACCAGGUACGUACACGAAUUUCGAGGAUGAAAUUUCAUAAGAAGGGGAGGUUGUAAGACCCCAACUUUUAUGAAUAAAGAAUUAAUUUUCUCUAAAUAUCUUUUUGAAUAAUAAGGUGUGAAUUUGAUAUAAUGUUAUAGUUAUAGGUAAUAGUUACAAAUUUUGCAAAGUAAGCAAGUUGUUAUAAAAUAUUCGAUUGGUCGGGGAAUAUUCGUUUUAUCAGGGAAUAUUCGUACAACGGCACAAUCAUUGGUGGACCCCACAACAGAAUUAUUAUCGGAGUUAGAAAACGGCAGAAACAACUUUUUAUAAAAAUAACUGCAAAAGUUUUACCGUUAACUGUUGAAAUACCCGGUGAAAAAAGUAAAGUAUACGCGUGGUUGCAUUGUAGCACAUGGUAUUGUACAGUAUCUUUGAUUAUUGAUGUUUACGUGAGAAUACACUCAGUUAUAUUCAAUAAUUACCACAAUAAGCUGGAUAGUAUCUCAUAUUAUUGAUUUAAUUAUUGUCAUAGUAUCAUUUGCAUAGUAUUUUAUAUUAUUAAAUCAAUAAUUGAGAUGACAAAGUUAUUCAUAUUAUUAUUUGUAUUAUUGACAAUGUCUAGAAAGUUCUGUCGUGAAAAGGGGUUUGGUCAUAGUUAAGGUUAAAGUUAAGGGUGAUAUGUUAAAAAAAUUUCAAAGUAAGCAAAUUGUCAUAAAAUAAUCGGUGAUAAAAGUAUAGUAAUUCGCGUGGUUGCAUAGUAGCACACGGUAUUGUACAGUAUCUUUGAUUAUUGAUGCUUACGUGAGAAGUCACUCAGUUUUGUUCAAUUAUUGCCACAGUAAUUGAUGUAUAGUAUCUCACGUUAUUGAUUCAAUUAUUGUCACAGUAUUUUAUAUUAUUAAAUUAAUAAUUGAGACGACAAAGAUAUUCAUAUUAUUAUUUGCAUUAUUGACGCUCACUACACGAAAAAGGCCUAAAAGUGACCAAGACUAUCAGCGACCGCAUAUCCGGUCGCGGAUACUAUUAAUAGCGACCGACAGCUGCGACCGUAUCUUAAAGUAGUCGAUAAAUACUAUCAGCGACCGCAUGCGGUCGCUGAGAGGUCGCUAUUACAAAUUUUCCUCGUAAAAUUUGGCACGAAAUGUUGGUGCCAAGUUUUUGUGCGACCACUUAACAUCAGCGACCGCAUGCGGUCGCUAAUAAGUCCAUGCCAUUAAAAUUCAGCGACCGCCUGCGGUCGCUGAUCAAACUAAAUGAAAUCAGUAACAGGUCUUUCGCUCGACACAGAAGACGGAAGAAAAAAAGAAGAAGAUAUGGACCUCAGCAUAGAGAGAAGAGGGAAAAAGGGGGGAGAAGAGAAGGAGGAGAAGUAGAAGCUGACUGCACCAUCGGCCAGCCGCCGCCCCACCAAACACUGGUAUGUAUUUUUCAUUUUAGGUUUUCUUAAUAUAAAUUCUCUCUUCUUCUUCCUCCUGAUGAAAUUGAGAAGUCGUCGCUAGUCAAACAACUGAUUCAUUUUAUCGUGGUAACAAUGUUUCGGUUGAAUUUCCUUACAAGAUUUUGUUUUUAAGUCAAUUUUUUUUUCUCAUUUGAUGUGUUUUGUUUGCUAGAGAAUAAUCAUUCAUAUGAAUAAUCAUUUGUUUUUCGGAAGCAUCUGAAUUGGUUUAGAAGAUUUAUUGUUAGAGACUUGAAUUUUAGUUAUUUAGAUGUUACCAAGGACAGUAAUUUUCUAACAAUACCUUCCAUCCGUCCCACAAAAAGAGUCCCAAUUUGUGAAUUUUGUAAAUAUUAAGACUGUAUAUUAAAACUGUAUAUUUAUUUUAGAUGAAACAAAUUUUAAAGACUACAAAUGCGUAUCACCUUGUUCUAACUUUAGCUAGCCCUCCUUUAGUUUCACACUGUGAUGAACAUUUUUGUGUGUGCCAAAAUGACCAAGUUUGGCAUUACUUUUAGGUACUUCUUUUGGAGUAAAAUUAGAUAUGGCUGUAGAAAAAUGGUAAGUAUCAUGAUGAGCCUUAAAUUUCUGAGUUUGAAGUGGUCCAGUGAUGAAAGUGAAGGGAGAGGAUUCCAAAUUUACAAAAAAUUAAAGCUCCUUGGUAUAUAAUUUGUGGGAUGCUUCUUUUUAGGCCAUGUUUUUUGAAAAUAUAUUGUUAGAAGUUAUUUUAGUUAUCUGAUUCCAGAAUUAUAACAAUAAUAAUGUGAGGGGACGACAUCUAGGCCUAGUUGGUGUUGAGAACAUUUGAUAUAUAAUUAAUUUAUAGGAUACUUUUUUGGGGUGGCACUUCGUUAUUUUGUUGGAGGUUAAAUUGUAGUCAUCCGAUUCAGGAACCAUAACGAUAAGUGUGAGGACCCGACACCUACACCUUGGCCUAGCUAGUUGGUGAUAAGAUUAUGUCCCAUAGCGGGGAUAAAUUGACAAGAGGCCCCGAUGGAAGUGCAGCCAACUUGCCUUGGUUUGAAUGAAUGAAUGUAACCAAGGAUGGGAACUCAACUCGUCUAUAUGCCAUCCCCCCAACUUGUCCAAUUCUUUUGUGAAUGAAUGAUAACUACUUUUAUUAAAAUUAGCUGAAGUAUCAUACAACUUAUGAAAUGAAUAAAGUUGUGUCUGCUGUGUUCACAAUUAGGAUGGAAAAUAUUAAUUUGUGUAAUGAGUGAAUUUUGUGAAUUUGGUCACCCUACAAAAAGAGUCCCAAUUUGUGAAUUUUGUGAAUUUGGUCGCCCUACAAAAAGAGUCCCAAUUUCUUUUUGUAUAUUUCUCUUGGUUUGUGUCUUGGGUGCCUAGAAAUGUCCAUAUAUGCAUGUCGUCGUGCAUGUGGCUAGUCCAUAUUGUAGGGGAGACUCUGGAGAAUUUUUUUUAAGUAUUAUAAGUAUAUUGGUGAUCCACUAGAGCCUAUUAAGGGGCUUUUGGAGCUGAUGGGCUGGGAUUGGGGCCGCGAGGCCACACGAGGCCACGCCAAGCUUAGCCAAGCCUCACGGGGCCAAACCAAACUUGGUUGUCAGCAUGGUAAGCUAUUGGGGGGCUGUUAAGCCAAAAUAACAUGAUAUAAUAUAUAGUUUCUCAUACUGCUUUAAUUUACAUUCAUUCGUUAACAUUGAGUAUGCUUAAAUGUUAAUUAUAUACUUAUAAGUAUGCUCAAGUCAUAUGGUUACAAGUAUGCUCAAGUCAUAUGCUUAAAUUUUUGUUUAUUGUCAUUUUAUAUUAAUAUAUAUACAUGUUUAUAUCACUGUCAAGUUUAUGUACUAAACUAUUUAAAUGCAACUUUUGUUUAUUGUCAUAUAUACAUGUAAUCAAACAUGACUCAUAAUAACAUCUUAAAAUUUGUAAUAUACAGAUGGCUUCUGAAGCAGCGCAGAAAAAGCGCGGCUUGGGUAGGGGGCCUAAUCAUGUGCCCAAGGCCCCUACUAAUCCAGAUGAUCGGAUUCUUAUUCAGAUUCGCCCUCCUCCGAAUAGCACGUACGUCCCGCAUAUAUCAUUUAUAUAUAAGCAUUUAAGAUUCCAUUUAUUGUAUAUUGGUAAUGUUUUGAUUGAUAUUAUAUUGAUAAUGUAUAUGGAUCAAUCGUUAUUGUUUUGGUCUUAUUGUAUUGAAAAUUUGUAUAUUUAUCUUGGUUUGUGUCUUGGGUGCCUAGAAAUGUCCAUAUAUGCAUGCCGUCGCGCAUGUGGCUAGUCUAUAUUGUAGGGGAGACUCUGGCGAUUUUUUUUUAAGUAUUAUAAGUAUAAGUUUGAAAAAUGUUCAUAAGUAUUAUAACUUAGAUGUAAAUUGCUUUAAUAUAUGUUAAUUGAUGUUGUAUAUUAUAGUGAUUUUUCAGAUAAUAAGAUCGUCAAGUGCAUAUCAUUGUUGUGUUUACAGAAUUGGCCUACACAUGUGAUUACGUGGGCGAACACACCUAUCGCCCACAAGGAUGCUGUUUGAGCAGAAUUUUAAGUAUGUUUUUUUUAAUUAUGACAAAUAAUAUUAAUAUAAUAUUCAAAGGAUAAUUAUUUAGUAAUGUUAUUAUUGUUGUUUUAUUUACAGAAACGGUAUAGAUGGGAGGACGCGCAGGCUUCAGUGAUACAGACAUUAUUCUGGCAGAAAUGCGCGGUCCGCACCAAAGACAAUUUGAAUAAAGAAAGACAAAAAGCCCUUCACAAUGCCGAGAUCGACCAUCCAGGCCAGGGAGAAGAUUACAUGCACGAGCAUAGUCCCUGGUGGUGCACCCAGGCCAUAUGGGCUGAGAUGUGUGCCCAAUGGAGAGCUGAGAGCUGGGUGAAAAGACGAAAGACUGCCGCCACCAACAGAUCCUCGGGUGUACCCGAUGGCGAAAAGGCUAAAGGGACAUACAAGGGCGGUAGUAUUUCACAGUUGCAGCAUAUCACUGCCAGGGUACGUAUUUACAAGUUUUAAUAUAUGUUUACAAUCAUGAAUUGUAGAAAAUAUAUCACAUUUUUACUUAGUAAUAUUAUGCUAUUUUUUGUAUAGGAGUCUCAGUCUCAAGGUCAGCCUAUCCAUUGGCUGGAUGUGUACGUGGCCACCCGUGAUGGUCUGCCUGAGGCUAUCUAAAUAGCGGUAAUAAAUUUUAACAACUUGAUCUUGUUUAUCAAUGCUUACAGAAUUAAUUUAUUUUUAACUAUUUAAUUGUUAACAUGAUGACAGGACACUUAUAAGCGUUUAUUGAAUGAGCGCUAUCCUGAAGGCACUCCACGUCCGCCUAUUAAUCAAGAGUUGUGGGAGAGGGUGUCUGUUGUGAAGAAGAACUACAUUAAAGGUCAAGGACAACGACGACGCCCAUCCUUCAGUGGCUCAGGCUGCUCUUCUACCCAGUAUACACAGUCAUCGAGCCAUCCAGCUGUUCAUACUUCGGCUGACUGUGUGAGAGCUAUAUGUCGAGAUCGCUAUCUUCUGAAGAUACUGGGCGAGCAUCUGGGGGCUCUGAGUGAUGAGGAGUUAGCUGAAGCAGUAGCGGCAGCAACAGCAUCACAACACGGGGAUGACGACGAGGUAUAAAAUCAAUUUAUUGUAUAUAUUAUCUUAAUAUACCAAUAUUAACAUAGUUAGUAUAUAUUUGUAACUUGUUUUAUUAUUUUGUUAAUUACAGCGUGAUCAAGGAGGCGAUGAUGCUUGAUGUACCUGCUUUAGAUUAGUUUUGUUUAUAUUAGCUUUCCUCUCUUUGGAUGUUUGUAUGUUACUUAAACAAGUUUUGAAAUGUUAUUAUAUUUAUUCAAAUCAUAUUGGUUUUUAAAGGUUUAUAUACUAGUUUGGUGUAUGUGUUUGGUGGACGAUGGAUGUUUAUAUUGUUGUGUAUGCUGUUGUUAGGUAUAUGUGUUGGGAUAAAGCAGGUACAGGUUUUUGGGAAUUCUGCAAAACAGCAAAAAUUUGUUUUUUAUUUUUUUUCCAUAUCAGCGACCGCAUGCGGUCGCUGACCGUUAUUAGCGACGGAUAAAUAUUUGAGGCUUGCGGUCGCUGAUACCGGUCGCUGACACAUGGCCCAUGUCAGUUUUGGCACUGGACCAUGCUGACUCAACUUAGCGACCGGAUUUGUCAAUUCGGUCGCUCAUAUCGGUCGCAGAUAAGUCGGUCGCUCAUAGUGGUCGCUGAUGUGCAUCCCAGCGACCAGAUUUUGUGCGAUAACUAUCAGCGACCGCAGGCGAUCGCUGAUGUCUAUCUGCGACUGGAAGCGAUCGCUGAUAAACCUUUUUCUUGUAGUGGAUGUCUAGAAAAUUUUUAUCGAGGAAAGGGGUUUGGUCACCUAAUUGCGUGCCAAUAGAGAAAAAUCCUUAUCGAAAAUGGGAAUGAUCUGGUUGUUAAUAUUGUGAGUUAUAAAUGAUGAAUAAAUGUUAUUAAAAAUGUGUUUUGAGAAGCCAAGUGAUUUGAAAUAAAUAGAGGGUUUUUUAUGAAGUAUUUGUUAUAAAUUUGGCUUAUUACAUGGACCCCCACUUACUCAUUUUUUUAAAAUAAUCGGUAGAAAGUUAUAAAGUAUGUUAGUAUAUAUAUAUAUAUAUAUAUAUAUAUAUAUAUAUAUAUAUAUAUAUAUAUAUAUAUAUAUAUCAAAAGUGUGUGUGUGCCGUGUGUGAUAAUGUGUGUGUGAAUGGUGGGUAUUAUAUAUAUAUAUAUAUUAGUUUUUUUUAUGAAAAAUAGAAUAUAUUAUAUUUUAUUUGCAUAGUACUGCAUAGUGUUGCAUAGUACUGAAUAGUGUGUGCAUAGUGCUGCUAAGUGUAGCAUAGUAAAAUCAAUUUUUUUUUAACUUUCGUCCGUGAUUUUACGUAGAAUUCAUCCGUGAAUUCUCAAACUGUUCACCCGUGAAAAUUCUAAAUAGUUCCCUGCCAUUCUCCUAUAAAUAGGCUGCUUAGUGUAGAAUUGAAAAUCACAGCAGAAUCAGAGAAUUCUUCUUCUAUAAUAUUGAGCGUAUUUCUUUAGGGUUUAAGGAAGCUUUGAGUGUAAAAAACAAUGCAAGUUUUCUUCAAGAAUAUCCCCGCUAUACCAGUCAGAAGUACUCUCCUUUUAAGGUAAGGAAUAUUAUUUUUGUUCAGUAUUUGUAAGAAAUAAUAUUUUCUUUCAUACUCUGUAGUAUGUGAGUAAUAUUAUUUCGUUUCCGAUUCCGAAUUCUACACUCAUUUUGUAAAGUAUUGCUUCUAUACUACUUGAAAUUAGUAGAAUAUCCUUGAAAUUUGCACUUCAUCUAGUAUCGUUUCACAAGGGUAUUUUUUUGAACAUUCUUGUUAAAUUUUAAUCUUUUCUUGUCGGGGUACUAUUCAUGAAGUACUAUUUACGGGGUACUAUUCACCUGGGUACUAUUCACCUGAAAAAUUAAUUUCUUUUAUGUCCAAAUUAUUUUUGAUACAUGAAUAUUAUUCUUGAAUUUUAAUUUACUCCACAAAGCAGUUAUCAUGUUGUCAAUUUGGACAUUUUUAAACUCUGGAUAAAUUAAAAAUCUUUAAUAUUUAUCCUUGAUUUCGUUUGAUUGGUUUCUUAUAUCAUUGUCAUUAUUCUCAUGCUUAUAUUGUGAUGAAAGUCAUCUUUAGCCCGUAGUGCAUAGAUGGAAUGUUGAUUGAUAUGAUUAUGACCAUGGAUUAUUCGGUAUAAUCAUGACCUGUAAUGUUACAAAUGAUGUGGUAAAAGUCCUCAUUGGCCCGUAGUGCAUUGAUGGACAGUUGUUGGCAUGAUCAUGACCAUUGGUGAUAAUAAUGAAUAUCCUUGGCCCAUAGUGCAUGAGUGAUUCGUGGAUGUGAUAAUAAUGAAUAUCCUUGGCCCGUAGUGCAUGGAUAAUUCAGUGAUGUGGAUUAUUUAUUGAGCUGAGUCUCAGCGAUAAAAUUGAUGAUAAACUUUUAAAUCAUAGAAGAUAGUAGAUAUCAUGCUCUACUUGACUCUUCUAAUGGAUUAUUUGUUCCGCUGCAGUUAAACUUGUUGUCUAUUGUAUUCUAUCAGUUUAACACUGUUGAAGGCUAACAAUAAUUUGUUCUACAUUAUCUUAGUCAUAAUAUUCUUUACUGGGCUAGUUGAGCUCACCCUUUACUUUCAUUGUUCUCUUCAAGAAAUUAGAAUAUAUAUAGUUGGGACUAGUCGGGGAACGAAGUGAUGGUCCGAGAUGCUGGCUAUAGUAGUCCUCACUAUUUUAUAAAAUAGUGUGAUAAUAAUUAAAAUGAGGACUCCAUUUGAGUUUGGAUAUUGUCUACGAGACAAUAUUCGUGUUAAAACUCUCAGCUACGUUUUGUCGUAUUGUAUAAAUGAAGUUUGUAUUUGAUUUCUGUACCAUGUAUUUGGCGACUCAGAAUGGGUGAUGUAUACCUAUUUUGGGGGCAUCACAGUCUAUGCAUGUAUAUUUUAGUUAACUAAGGUUACUUUUAUCAUCAUUUCACUUUACUUGGUUAUCUAGCCAAUUUUGACCUAUCAAAGCUCACAUUAGGCUUGAAAAUAGAUCAUAACUUGAUUUUCUUAAUAGUUUUGGUCAUGACAAUGAUUAGGAAUCAUUAUAAGAAUGUAUUAGGAACUUUAUAUGAGCUUCUUAUAGUCAAUUAAGUUUAGGUAUUACAAAUUACAUAAAACAGUUCACUUUUGGGCUUAAAUUAUGAUUUUUCACAAGUCUAAUGUUCAAAACAGUUUAGGAUUGGUUUCUUAAGGUUGUGUAGCUUAUUUAUGCCAUAUUAUAACUAUUGAAACUUGCCUAUAUGGUCCAGGUAUCGUGGUUCUACAUUUAGGGGCUAAUUUCUAUUUUAAAGCUUACUUUCAUUCGUUUUUAGAUAUGAAUUUGAACCACACGUAACAUACACCUUAACUAAGUAAAGGAACACCUUUUAAAUAUCCCUUAUGGAUAUUUCAUGGUCUAUUUACUGACUCAUAAGUUCAGGUACUGAACUUGACCAAAACAGUCCCCAAAUUUGGGUUUUAAGCACAAUUUUGACUAUUAAAUCUCAAAUAGUUCCAUAGCAAGACUAAAGAAAUUUCUAGGCAUUCAAGAAAUCCUUAAAACAUCAUUAUAACAUAAUCAUUACAUACAUUACAUACUUUCAACAGUUAGCCCAUAUUUUGACAGUUAAAACAGUCCUAACUAAGCAUUUUAAGCAUGAUUUAACACCAUUUUUACCAAAACAGUUCCAAGACAUUACAUACUUAGGCUAUAUGCAUUUUUACAUAAUGCUAUUAUUAUAUAAUCGAUAUACAUGAUUUAAAACUCAUAAAUUCUAGGUUUCAUGCUUUAGACAAAAACAAUCACUAUUUAGGAACUUUAGGCAGAAUUUAGCAUACACACUCAUAACAAUCCUAUGUUAUGCUUUAUUUAAUAUCUAAGCAUGGAUGCAAGUAUAAGAGCACUAAUAUGGCACAUGGAUAUGAUGCUAGUCUUGACUGCCUUAAUAGCUAAGUCAGUUAACCAUAAUAGUCCACUACUUUAGUUCAGUAGCAACUCCUUUAAAUGAUUAGCUAGCAUACAAGGUUCAAAAAAAUAGUUGCCUGGUUUGUUUGAGCUCCUUCAAAAUGGAAAUUUGCUUAGACUUCACUAUUCUAGCAUUCAAAGUUUGGUACUAUUAUAGCAUAGAAACCAUGCGAGAAACAAGGUAUAAUCAUUAUAAGACAACUUCGAAUAACAGUCAAAAGGAUUGAUUUUUGCUUCUAACAAAACUAUCAUGCUUUGUAAGGUUUAGUAAAACAUGUUAUACUUAAGUUUAGAGCAUACUUAAAGCAUAACACACACUGCUCCAGCAACUGAACAUCAUUUUAGACUUUAAUUUACAACUAGAAAUGCAUUGACACUAUAACAGCCCCUAGUCUAACAUUUUAUCAAACAUGUAGGGUGCAGUCCAUAUAUAUAUACAUAUAGUACAUAUAUUUCUAAAUCUUUGGCCCCAACCUUAUGAUUUUAAAACAACAACCAAGACAACAAUCAAAAUAACAAAACAGUCACAUUAAUAAUACCAACACAACCACAACAAUAGCCACACUAACACAACCAAUGAUAUGCAACAGUCCCGGCCAAACCACCCGCCCACUAGCAGUUGAUUUUGCUAUCAACAGUGAUUUUAUUAAUUAUUUAAUAAUAUUUUAUUAUAUACGAAUAUCAUUAAUCAUUUAAUAAUAUUUCAUUCAUUUACAAAUAUUAUUAAUCAUUUAAUAAUAUUUUAAUCACCUUCUAAUAUUAUUAAUUAUUUAAUAAUAUUUUAAUCAUUCUCAAAUAUUAUUAAUCCUUUAAUAAUAUUUUUGUCACUCACUAAUAUUAUUAAUCAUUUAAUAAUAUUUUAAUCCUUUACAAAUAUUAUUAAUCAUUUAAUAAUAUUUUAAUUCUAAAUAUUAUUAAUUACUUAAUGAUAUUUUAAUAUAAUAUUAUUAAUCUUUUAAUAAUAUUUUAAUCAUCUAUUAAACUCAUAAACAAUUAAUUUUAAAUGUUUAUCCUCUACUAAUUCAUUUAUUUAAUAAAUCUAAAAUGCCAUAAAUAUAGCAUUUUAACAAAAAUGAUUAAAAUACCCCCCAAAAUUAUGAUUACAUCAUAUUAAGGGUCUUUUGUCAAAAAAAUUACAUUUUUACACUUUAUAAUAUCACAUUACUUAUUUUAUCCAUUUAUUCAUAACUCAAUCAUUUAAAUAAAAAUUACCAAAGCAACUUAUUAUUUUUUAUCUUUUGGGAAAUAUCAGUAUAUGAUAUCUUAGUGAUAAAAUAAUUUUUCUAUAAUUUUUCAAUUUCGUUUUCUAUUUUUAAAUAGACUAAAACAAUCCAAAAUGACAAAAUUUAUCAUAAAUUAUCCUUUUUUCAAAACAUUCCGAAAUUUAUACGGUAGACUCUACCAUAUACAAACUUCAAUUGCAUUUUCACAGUUUUCUGAGUUGUAUCUUAGGAGUUAUUACAGUUUAAUUUUAAAAUUGCAUUUUCUUGUAAAAGCCAUAACUCCAAUUCUGGACAUCCAAAAAUUUCCAUCUUUGGACAUAAUCUAUUUAACUUGUUAUACUAACAUACCACAAAAGCUCAGAAUUUUUAGAGAUCUUAAAGUGGCCGAAAUAGCCUUCAUUAAAAUUUGGCCAGGAAAGUUGUCUGAUUUUCCAUAUUUUUGCCCAGCUGGGAGUGUUUUGGAAAAAAAGAUACUACGGUUGAUUGGUUUAACAUUUUUGAGUGCUAUAACUUGGGUUUAAUAGAUAGCUCACAUAUCUAACACCCCUCUUUGACGGAUCUCAAAAAUAAUUUGUAGGUUCAAACGGUAGUGCCUCAAAGUGGCUGAUAUUUAGGGUUUUUUCCAGAUUAUGCCUACUGUACCAAAAAUAGUCCAUACGAAAAUCUAAAAUAUUUUUUUUGGUGAUUCCACUUGGAGAAGUUAGAAGAUUCGUAGAUCUAACUCCAAAAAUUGACCACACUCAAAAAUUCGAAAUAGAUUGAGAGAUGAUUGUUUAAAUUUCAUGUUCUAUUUUCUAGAAAAUCAGUCUUUUUUCACCUUUAUGCUUUGUAAGGAAUCUUCCAUGAUCUCUUGAUUAAUCAAACAUUAACCAACAUAAUACAUCUUAAUAAAUCCUAAUACGUCUUAUACUCAUGAAUCUACCAUGAUUCAUGAUCUAUUUCAUCAAACUCCCAUAAAAAUAAGAUUAAACAUAGUUUAAGGGUUAGUGUUUUAUACCUUUUUGCUUUCUUCCUUUUGCUUUCUUCUUCUUCUCUUCUCUCCUUCCCUUCAUCCGUGGCAGCCCGCUCUCUCUCUUCCUCUCUUCACAUAGUCGGGUGUGGAGUGGUGAAAAGAAGAGAAAGAUUUCUUUUUUGUUUCCUUUUUCCUUUAGCUAAGUAAUAUAUCAUUUAGGAGAGAGA